rnacentral:rRNA from 1 species
CCAAUAGCGUAUAUUAAAGUUGUUGCAGUUAAAAAGCUCGUAGUUGAAUUUCGGGGUUAGUAGGUUGGUCAUGCCUCUGGUAUGCACUGGCCUCACUGAUUCCUCCUUCCUGAUGAGCCGUAAUGCCAUUAAUUUGGUGUUGCGGGGAAUUUGGACUGUUACUUUGAAAAAAUUAGAGUGUUUAAAGCAAGCUAACGCUUGAAUACAUUAGCAUGGAAUA